GGGACGAACGCUGGCGGCGUGCUUAACACAUGCAAGUCGAGCGGAAAGGCCCUUCGGGGUACUCGAGCGGCGAACGGGUGAGUAACACGUGAGUAAUCUGCCCCUAGCUCUGGGAUAGCUCCGGGAAACCGGGAUUAAUACCAGAUAUGACCACUUUAGACAUCUGCUGUGGUGGAAAGAAUUUCGGCUAGGGAUGAGCUCGCGGCCUAUCAGCUUGUUGGUGGGGUAACGGCCUACCAAGGCGACGACGGGU
rnacentral:rRNA from 1 species